rnacentral:siRNA from 1 species
UAUAUCUCUGCUUGUACCUUGA